rnacentral:lncRNA from 1 species
CCAAAUCAAAUAACCAACAUCCCGACAUAUUUACUAUGAAAUAUACCUCCUAAUUUAAGCUUAUAACCUAACUGAUUAUAUAUAUACCAACGUUAGCAUCAUGAUUAAGCCAUUUUUGCAUGGCUAUAUAUUUACACAAAUUUCAAAACCAAAUAUAUAUAUCAAAAUUAGCCUAUACAUCCACAUAACCGAAUCUCAAAACAUUAUUUACUAAAAAGAUAACCGGAUAAUGUGAUGACUUCUCCAUUGACUUCCAACCC